rnacentral:rRNA from 1 species
CAGGCCUAACACAUGCAAGUCGAGCGCACCUUCGGGUGAGCGGCGGACGGGUUAGUAACGCGUGGGAACGUGCCCUUCUCUACGGAAUAGCCUCUGGAAGCGGAGAGUAAUACCGUAUACGCCCUUUGGGGGAAAGAUUUAUCGGAGAAGGAUCGGCCCGCGCUAGAUUAGGUAGUUGGUGGGGUAACGGCCUACCAAGCCUACGAUCUAUAGCUGGUUUUAGAGGAUGAUCAGCAACACUGGGACUGAGACACGGCCCAGACUCCUACGGGAGGCAGCAGUGGGGAAUCUUAGACAAUGGGGGCAACCCUGAUCUAGCCAUGCCGCGUGAGUGAUGAAGGCCUUAGGGUCGUAAAGCUCUUUCGCCUGUGAUGAUAAUGACAGUAGCAGGUAAAGAAACCCCGGCUAACUCCGUGCCAGCAGCCGCGGUAAUACGGAGGGGGUUAGCGUUGUUCGGAAUUACUGGGCGUAAAGCGCGCGUAGGCGGACUAGAAAGUUGGGGGUGAAAUCCCGGGGCUCAACCUCGGAACUGCCUCCAAAACUGCUAGUCUAGAGUUCGAGAGAGGUGAGUGGAAUUCCGAGUGUASAGGUGAAAUUCGUAGAUAUUCGGAGGAACACCAGUGGCGAAGGCGGCUCACUGGCUCGAUACUGACGCUGAGGUGCGAAAGUGUGGGGAGCAAACAGGAUUAGAUACCCUGGUAGUCCACAC